rnacentral:ncRNA from 1 species
UAAAAGUUUUAUUCUAGUUUUUUACUUGGUUAUUAAUUGUUUAUAUAUGAAUUUUUUUUAAAUAGUUAUUAUUAUAAUAGUUAGAUUUAAUUAAUUAAGGAAACUUAGAAUUAGGGUUGAUAAAGAGUUUGGUUAAAUUUGUGCCAGCAUCCGCGGUUAUACAAUUAAAUAGUAAAGUUUUUUAGGAUUAGUUAGGGGUUUGUAGUAAUAAAAUGAAUAAUUUAAGGUGAAAUUUGAUUAACUGUUUUAUACUUUUUAUUGAGGCUAUAAAAUUAUUUGAAUGACUAGGAUUAGAUACCCUAUUAAUUUAAAAAUGUAAGUUUUGUCCUAUAGUAGUAAAUUAGGGCAUGAAACUAAAAGAAUUUGGCGGUAUAAAAUCUUAUUAGAGGAACUUGUUUUGUAAUUGAUGGUACUCAUUCUACCUUACUUUUAUUAAAUAUUUAUAUAUCGCUGUUGUUAAUAUUUUUAAAGAAUUAAUUUAGGGUAUUUAAUUUUAUAGGAAUUCAGGUCAAGGUUUAGUUGAUAUAAAAGUAGUAAUGAGUUACAGUAUGUUUAUAUGCGGAUUCAAUAUUUAAAAUUAUGGAUGAAGAUGGAUUUGAAAGUAAUUUUAUUGAGAAAUAGAAUGAAAUUUGAACUUUUAUAUGUACAUAUCGCCCGUCACUCUCGAUUAAGUUGAGAAAAGUCGUAACAAAGUAGAUGUACUGGAAGGUGUAUCUAGUUAAUG